CUUCUACACACUCUGUCCCUCACACCACAUCACCAACACAAGUCAAACCCAUUAAACCCCUCGCUCAAAAUUGGGUUCUUCGCCCAACUGCCCCUCACCCUCAUAAAGAUCCCAACCCUCACUGACACGAAUUGCAGUCCACCCACCCCUACUCCGCUCUAAGUCAAACUCACACAAUGCCAAGGGCUUGGUCAGAUGGAAUCAGAAUCCUCAUCCUCCUCCACCUCAGUAGUGCUAUAUAGAGCAACAGUGCCCUUGAGUGCUUCCUCCCCUCACUGUGUUCCCUUACUGGUGUGAUUCAAUUAUGGCUGACGCCGAUUCAGAUCAUGAUUCAGUCAUGGUCGACUUCGAUUUAGAUGAGUACGAUAGUGAUGUCGAGCUCGAGAUUGCCACAGCCUACAUUCAACUAUGUAUAGAGUAAGUUCAAAAGUACUACAUAAAGCGAUCUAUGUGCAUUAGUAUCUUGAGUGGGAGGUCGUACGUCUAAGAAGAACUAGAAGGAAAUCCCUAAGUUUGUUACAACAUUUUUCGCAUGGACAAGAACAUUUUUAGGCACUUGUGUAAUGAGUUGAAGAGGUUGCACUUAUUAGAGGACACUAGUAUUGUUUUAGUGGAGGAGUUCGUUGGGACAUUGUUAUUAUUGUCGGACACAACGCUGACUCCUAGCUAACUUCCAACCGCUUCCAACAUUCUCUUGAGACCAUUCAAAAGCAGUUCUAGCGUGCAUUGUAGGCUAUCCAUGCAUUGGGAUGUCUCAUCAUCCGGCCCGACAUUGAUGCAGCUAAGCUUCCUCAUUCACUUCGAGGAAAUGAGAAAUAUUAUCCAUGAUUUGAGUUAUGCUAUUAUACUGGUAUCUUAUUAGUAAGUUGCAUGUACAUUCCAAAUCUUUGCUGGAUUGGAACAUAGGUGUAUAAAACUGAAACUUGUUCAACAAUAUUU